GUAAUUAUAAAUUAAUGGUAAAUUAUCUAUCUUCCAAAUAGACUAUAUGAGUUCAAGUCUCAUUAAUUACA
rnacentral:tRNA from 1 species